CUUUUACAAUGAAGAGUUUGAUCCUGGCUCAGGAUGAACGCUAGCUACAGGCUUAACACAUGCAAGUCGAGGGGCAGCAUUUCAGUUUGCUUGCAAACUGGAGAUGGCGACCGGCGCACGGGUGAGUAACACGUAUCCAACCUGCCGAUAACUCGGGGAUAGCCUUUCGAAAGAAAGAUUAAUACCCGAUGGCAUAAUUAGACCGCAUGGUCUUAUUAUUAAAGAAUUUCGGUUAUCGAUGGGGAUGCGUUCCAUUAGGCAGUUGGUGAGGUAACGGCUCACCAAACCUUCGAUGGAUAGGGGUUCUGAGAGGAAGGUCCCCCACAUUGGAACUGAGACACGGUCCAAACUCCUACGGGAGGCAGCAGUGAGGAAUAUUGGUCAAUGGACGCGAGUCUGAACCAGCCAAGUAGCGUGAAGGAUGACUGCCCUAUGGGUUGUAAACUUCUUUUAUAUGGGAAUAAAGUUUUCCACGUGUGGAAUUUUGUAUGUACCAUAUGAAUAAGGAUCGGCUAACUCCGUGCCAGCAGCCGCGGUAAUACGGAGGAUCCGAGCGUUAUCCGGAUUUAUUGGGUUUAAAGGGAGCGUAGGUGGACAGUUAAGUCAGUUGUGAAAGUUUGCGGCUCAACCGUAAAAUUGCAGUUGAUACUGGCUGUCUUGAGUACAGUAGAGGUGGGCGGAAUUCGUGGUGUAGCGGUGAAAUGCUUAGAUAUCACGAAGAACUCCGAUUGCGAAGGCAGCUCACUGGACUGCAACUGACACUGAUGCUCGAAAGUGUGGGUAUCAAACAGGAUUAGAUACCCUGGUAGUCCACACAGUAAACGAUGAAUACUCGCUGUUUGCGAUAUACAGUAAGCGGCCAAGCGAAAGCAUUAAGUAUUCCACCUGGGGAGUACGCCGGCAACGGUGAAACUCAAAGGAAUUGACGGGGGCCCGCACAAGCGGAGGAACAUGUGGUUUAAUUCGAUGAUACGCGAGGAACCUUACCCGGGCUUAAAUUGCAUUUGAAUAAUCUGGAAACAGGUUAGCCGCAAGGCAAAUGUGAAGGUGCUGCAUGGUUGUCGUCAGCUCGUGCCGUGAGGUGUCGGCUUAAGUGCCAUAACGAGCGCAACCCUUAUCUUUAGUUACUAACAGGUCAUGCUGAGGACUCUAGAGAGACUGCCGUCGUAAGAUGUGAGGAAGGUGGGGAUGACGUCAAAUCAGCACGGCCCUUACGUCCGGGGCUACACACGUGUUACAAUGGGGGGUACAGAAGGCAGCUACCUGGUGACAGGAUGCUAAUCCCAAAAGCCUCUCUCAGUUCGGAUCGAAGUCUGCAACCCGACUUCGUGAAGCUGGAUUCGCUAGUAAUCGCGCAUCAGCCAUGGCGCGGUGAAUACGUUCCCGGGCCUUGUACACACCGCCCGUCAAGCCAUGAAAGCCGGGGGUACCUGAAGUACGUAACCGCAAGGAGCGUCCUAGGGUAAAACUGGUAAUUGGGGCUAAGUCGUAACAAGGUAGCCGUACCGGAAGGUGCGGCUGGAACACCUCCUUU
rnacentral:rRNA from 1 species